rnacentral:tRNA from 1 species
UCCUCUCGUGGAGGGGUGUUAAUGCUCACUAACAUCUGGGAUGUUAGUGACUACUAACAUGGGUGUCCAGGGCCCGGAGCGGCACCGGGGGAGGGGAG